AGUGAACGCUGGCGGUAGGCCUAACACAUGCAAGUCGAACGGCAGCACAGUAAGAGCUUGCUCUUACGGGUGGCGAGUGGCGGACGGGUGAGGAAUACAUCGGAAUCUACUUUUUCGGGGGGGAUAACGUAGGGAAACUUACGCUAAUACCGCAUACGACCUACGGGUGGAAGCAGGGGACCUUCGGGCCUUGCGCGAUUGAAUGACCCGAUGUCGGAUUAGCUAGUUGGCGGGGUAAAGGCCCACCAAGGCGACGAGCCGUAGCUGGUUUGAGAGGAUGAUCAGCCACACUGGAACUGAGACACGGUCCAGACUCCUACGGGAGGCAGCAGUGGGGAAUAUUGGACAAUGGGCGCAAGCCUGAUCCAGCCAUACCGCGUGGGUAAAGAAGGCCUUCGGGUUGUAAAGCCCUUUUGUUGGGAAAGAAAUCCAGCCGGCUAAUACCUGGCUGGGAUGAUGGUACCCAAAGAAUAAGCACCGGCUAACUUCGUGCCAGCCGCCGCCGUAAUAC
rnacentral:rRNA from 1 species